UGCACGAAAGCUGUGGGAGCAAGCGAGGAUAAGAUACCUUGUAGUCCACGCCUUAACGAUGUCAACUGGUGUUGGGUGCAUUAGUACUCAGUAACGAAGCUAACGCGUGAAGUAGACCGCCAUGGGGAGUACGGCGGCAAGGUUGAACUCAAGGAAAUGACGGGGACCCCGCGCAAGCGGUGGAUGAUGUGGUUUAAUUGCGAUGCAACGCGAAAAAACCUUACCUACCUUUGACAUGUACGGAACUCGCCAGAGAUGGCUUGGUGCUCGAAAGAGAGCCGUAACACAGGUGCUGCAUGGCUGUCGUCAGCUCGUGUCGUGAGAUGUGGGGUUAAGUCCCGCAACGAGCGCAACCCUUGUCAUUAGUUGGUACAUUUAGUUGGGCACUCUAAUGAGUCUGCCGGUGACAAACCGGAGGAAGGUGGGGAUGACGUCAAGUCCUCAUGGCCCUUAUAGGUAGGGCUGCACACGUCAUACAAUGGAUGGUACAAAGGGUCGCCAACCCGCGAGGGGGAGCCAAUCCCAUAAAACCAUUCGUAGUCCGGAUCGCAGUCUGCAACUCGACUGCGUGAAGUCGGAAUCGCUAGUAAUCGUGGAUCAGAAUGUCACGGUGAAUACGUUCCCGGGUCUUGUACACACCGCCCGUCACACCAUGGGAGCGGGUUCUGCCAGAAGUAGUUAGCCUAACCGCAAGGAGGGCGAUUUUCACGCCAGGGUUCGUG
rnacentral:rRNA from 1 species